CCUACGGGCGGCUGCAGUCGAGAAUCAUUCGCAAUGGGCGAAAGCCUGACGGUGCGACGUCGCGUGGAGGAUGAAGGUCUUCGGAUUGUAAACUCCUGUCAUGAGGGAUAAAUGGCCAGGGCAAUAAUACUGCCUUGGAAUGAUAGUACCUCAGGAGGAAGAGACGGCUAACUCUGUGCCAGCAGCCGCGGUAAUACAGAGGUCUCAAGCGUUGUUCGGAUUUACUGGGCGUAAAGGGAGCGUAGGCGGUUUGGUAUGUCGAAUGUGAAAGCCCACAACUCAACUGUGGAAAUGCAUUCGAAACUGCCGGACUAGAGUACUGGAGAGGAGAGCGGAAUUCUUGGUGUAGCGGUGAAAUGCGUAGAUAUCAAGAGGAACACCGGUGGCGAAGGCGGCUCUCUGGACAGAUACUGACGCUGAGGCUCUAAAGUUAGGGGAGCAAACAGGAUUAGAUACCCCUGUAGUC
rnacentral:rRNA from 1 species